GACGAACGCUGGCGGCGUGCUUAACACAUGCAAGUCGAACGGUGAAGCGCCUUCCUUUUUGGUGGGUGUGGAUGAGUGGCGAACGGGUGAGUAACACGUGAGUAACCUGCCCCCUUCUUCUGGAUAACCGCAUGAAAGUGUGGCUAAUACGGGAUAUUCUGGGUCUGUCGCAUGAUGGGUCUGGGAAAGAUAUUGUUUCGGUGGGGGAUGGGCUCGCGGCCUAUCAGCUUGUUGGUGGGGUGAUGGCCUACCAAGGCGGUGACGGGUAGCCGGCCUGAGAGGGUGGACGGUCACACUGGGACUGAGACAAGGCCCAGACUCCUACGGGAGGCAGCAGUGGGGAAUAUUGCACAAUGGGCGCAAGCCUGAUGCAGCGACGCCGCGUGAGGGAUGGAGGCCUUCGGGUUGUGAACCUCUUUCGCCAGUGAAGCAGGCCUGCCUCGUUUGUGGGUGGGUUGACGGUAGCUGGAUAAGAAGCGCCGGCUAACUACGUG
rnacentral:rRNA from 1 species